rnacentral:rRNA from 1 species
UGCAGUAGAACGCUGAAGAGAGGAGCUUGCUCUUCUUGGAUGAGUUGCGAACGGGUGAGUAACGCGUAGGUAACCUGCCUUGUAGCGGGGGAUAACUAUUGGAAACGAUAGCUAAUACCGCAUAACAAUGGAUGACACAUGUCAUUUAUUUGAAAGGGGCAAUUGCUCCACUACAAGAUGGACCUGCGUUGUAUUAGCUAGUAGGUGAGGUAACGGCUCACCUAGGCGACGAUACAUAGCCGACCUGAGAGGGUGAUCGGCCACACUGGGACUGAGACACGGCCCAGACUCCUACGGGAGGCAGCAGUAGGGAAUCUUCGGCAAUGGGGGCAACCCUGACCGAGCAACGCCGCGUGAGUGAAGAAGGUUUUCGGAUCGUAAAGCUCUGUUGUAAGUCAAGAACGAGUGUGAGAGUGGAAAGUUCACACUGUGACGGUAGCUUACCAGAAAGGGACGGCUAACUACGUGCCAGCAGCCGCGGUAAUACGUAGGUCCCGAGCGUUGUCCGGAUUUAUUGGGCGUAAAGCGAGCGCAGGCGGUUUGAUAAGUCUGAAGUUAAAGGCUGUGGCUCAACCAUAGUUCGCUUUGGAAACUGUCAAACUUGAGUGCAGAAGGGGAGAGUGGAAUUCCAUGUGUAGCGGUGAAAUGCGUAGAUAUAUGGAGGAACACCGGUGGCGAAAGCGGCUCUCUGGUCUGUAACUGACGCUGAGGCUCGAAAGCGUGGGGAGCGAACAGGAUUAGAUACCCUGGUAGUCCACGCCGUAAACGAUGAGUGCUAGGUGUUGGAUCCUUUCCGGGAUUCAGUGCCGCAGCUAACGCAUUAAGCACUCCGCCUGGGGAGUACGACCGCAAGGUUGAAACUCAAAGGAAUUGACGGGGGCCCGCACAAGCGGUGGAGCAUGUGGUUUAAUUCGAAGCAACGCGAAGAACCUUACCAGGUCUUGACAUCCCGAUGCUAUUUCUAGAGAUAGAAAGUUACUUCGGUACAUCGGUGACAGGUGGUGCAUGGUUGUCGUCAGCUCGUGUCGUGAGAUGUUGGGUUAAGUCCCGCAACGAGCGCAACCCCUAUUGUUAGUUGCCAUCAUUCAGUUGGGCACUCUAGCGAGACUGCCGGUAAUAAACCGGAGGAAGGUGGGGAUGACGUCAAAUCAUCAUGCCCCUUAUGACCUGGGCUACACACGUGCUACAAUGGUUGGUACAACGAGUUGCGAGUCGGUGACGGCAAGCUAAUCUCUUAAAGCCAAUCUCAGUUCGGAUUGUAGGCUGCAACUCGCCUACAUGAAGUCGGAAUCGCUAGUAAUCGCGGAUCAGCACGCCGCGGUGAAUACGUUCCCGGGCCUUGUACACACCGCCCGUCACACCACGAGAGUUUGUAACACCCGAAGUCGGUGAGGUAACCUUUUGGAGCCAGCCGCCUAA